rnacentral:rRNA from 1 species
GAUGAACGCUGGCGGCGUGCCUAAUACAUGCAAGUCGAGCGAACGGAUGAGAAGCUUGCUUCUCUGAUGUUAGCGGCGGACGGGUGAGUAACACGUGGAUAACCUACCUAUAAGACUGGGAUAACUUCGGGAAACCGGAGCUAAUACCUGAUAAUAUUUUGAACCGCAUGGUUCAAAAGUGAAAGACGGUCUUGCUGUCACUUAUAGAUGGAUCCGCGCUGCAUUAGCUAGUUGGUAAGGUAACGGCUUACCAAGGCAACGAUGCAUAGCCGACCUGAGAGGGUGAUCGGCCACACUGGAACUGAGACACGGUCCAGACUCCUACGGGAGGCAGCAGUAGGGAAUCUUCCGCAAUGGGCGAAAGCCUGACGGAGCAACGCCGCGUGAGUGAUGAAGGUCUUCGGAUCGUAAAACUCUGUUAUUAGGGAAGAACAUAUGUGUAAGUAACUGUGCACAUCUUGACGGUACCUAAUCAGAAAGCCACGGCUAACUACGUG